rnacentral:rRNA from 1 species
GGGAAGAGCUCAAAUUUCGAAUCUGGCGGUUUCGCCGUCCGAGUUGUAAUCUAGAGAAGCGUUUUCCGCGCUGGACCGUGUACAAGUCUCCUGGAAGGGAGCGUCGUAGAGGGUGAGAAUCCCGUCUUUGACACGGACCACCGGUGCUAUGUGAUGCGCUCUCGACGAGUCGAGUUGUUUGGGAAUGCAGCUCAAAUUGGGUGGUAAACUCCAUCUAAAGCUAAAUACAGGCGAGAGACCGAUAGCGAACAAGUACCGUGAGGGAAAGAUGAAAAGAACUUUGGAAAGAGAGUUAAACAGUACGUGAAAUUGCUGAAAGGGAAACGCUUGAUGUCAGUCGCGUCGGCCGGGGAUCAACCUUGCUUUUCGCUGGGUGUAUUUCCUGGUCGACGGGUCAGCAUCAGUUUCGAUCGUCGUAAAAGGGCGGAGGGAACGUGGCACUCUUCGGGGUGUGUUAUAGCCUUUCGUCGUAUGCGACGGUCGGGACUGAGGAACUCGGCACGGCUCUGCUUGUGCUCAGGAUGCUGGCAUAAUGGCCUUAAGCGACCCGUCUUGAAACACGGACCAAGGAGUCUAACAUGCCUGCGAGUGUUUGGGUGGUAAACUCGAGCGCGUAAUGAAAGUGAAAGUCGAGACCUCCGUCGUGGAGGGCAUCGACGCCCGGACCCGAGUCUUUGACGAAGGAUCUGCGGUAGAGCAUGUAUGUUGGGACCCGAAAGAUGGUGAACUAUGCCUGAAUAGGGUGAAGCCAGAGGAAACUCUGGUGGAGGCUCGUAGCGAUUCUGACGUGCAAAUCGAUCGUCGAAUUUGGGUAUAGGGGGCGAAAGACUA